AACAACCAUAAAAAAUUUGAGAAAACGAAAUAUAGUCGAUGGUUCGAAAGAAGCACUCACCGAAGGAAGAGCACUCAGUUGAAGAAAAAAAAGAAUAUCAAAGAAAAACUGAGCAAUUGAAAAAGAAAAGAAUAAAACACAGUGAAAAGAAUAUGAACACUGGCUCUGAACCCAAAAUCACUUGUUUUCCUUUUUGUUUGUAUUUACCACACCAUAACCCAAG
rnacentral:lncRNA from 1 species